UGAUUCCGUAGGUGAACCUGCGGAAGGAUCAUUACCGAGUGCGGGCUGCCUCCGGGCGCCCAACCUCCCACCCGUGACUACCUAACACUGUUGCUUCGGCGGGGAGCCCCCUAGGGGCGAGCCGCCGGGGACCACUGAACUUCAUGCCUGAGAGUGAUGCAGUCUGAGCCUGAAUACAAAUCAGUCAAAACUUUCAACAAUGGAUCUCUUGGUUCCGGCAUCGAUGAAGAACGCAGCGAACUGCGAUAAUAAUGUGAAUUGCAGAAUUCAGUGAAUCAUCGAGUCUUUGAACGCACAUUGCGCCCCCUGGCAUUCCGGGGGGCAUGCCUGUCCGAGCGUCAUUGCUGCCCUCAAGCCCGGCUUGUGUGUUGGGUCGUCGUCCCCCCCGGGGGACGGGCCCGAAAGGCAGCGGCGGCACCGUGUCCGGUCCUCGAGCGUAUGGGGCUUUGUCACCCGCUCGAUUAGGGCCGGCCGGGCGCCAGCCGGCGUCUCCAACCUUAUUUUUCUCAGGUUGACCUCGGAUCAGGUAGGGAUACCCGCUGAACUUAAGCAUAUCAAUAAGCGGAGGAA
rnacentral:rRNA from 1 species